CCGNGGGGCGCCGCGGGGGGGGCCGGCGGGGGCNGUGGCGGNGGUGGAAACGAGGGUGCUCCUUUGACGUUAGCGGCGGACGGGUGAGUAACACGUGGGUAACCUACCUAUAAGACUGGAAUAACUCCGGGAAACCGGGGCUAAUGCCGGAUAACAUUUAGAACCGCAUGGUUCUAAAGUGAAAGAUGGUUUUGCUAUCACUUAUAGAUGGACCCGCGCCGUAUUAGCUAGUUGGUAAGGUAACGGCUUACCAAGGCAACGAUACGUAGCCGACCUGAGAGGGUGAUCGGCCACACUGGAACUGAGACACGGUCCAGACUCCUACGGGAGGCAGCAGUAGGGAAUCUUCCGCAAUGGGCGAAAGCCUGACGGAGCAACGCCGCGUGAGUGAUGAAGGUCUUCGGAUCGU
rnacentral:rRNA from 1 species